GGCAUUGUGGCUGAGCGGUUAAGGCGGUUGUCUGUAAAACAAUUUCACCCCUGGUUCGAACCCAGGCGAUGCUA
rnacentral:tRNA from 1 species